UGAGGAACAUGCCUUCUGGGGGAGGUAGCCUGUUUGAGUAUCAUCCUAAAGUUCUAACAGCUGUGGAAACCACUCCAUCAGCGUGCCAGGCCCCUCAGCUCAGCUUGCAGGCUGAAACAAAGAUCUGGAAGAUAAGCAGUCAGCACAAGAAAAUUCAAGAUGGGCUAUUUAAAAGGAGCUGAAUUCUUACCAGAUGGAGGCUGUGGUGCAAUCGGAAUUCAAACGGCUGCUUUAAAGUUGCACCUGGUUGGCUUUAGCCAGCAGGAUCAAGCUACAAAAUAUUUGUGUAAAAACAAAGCUCCAAUAUAAUCAGUGAAGAGGAGCUAAAAAUCUGUUGGUCUGAAGACAAAAAAAAAAAAAAAAAAAAAAAAA